UUUUUUUUUUUUUAAUUAUAUAAAGGAACCGUUUUUACAAUGAGCUUGGACUGCUCUGUCCUGAUGCAUUCCAAGCAUCCUUCACCUCUGUUUUUUUUCAUCAUUUUCUGGCAGCUCUUCCAGGCCACUAAUUCUCCCGGAUUUCCUGCUGUACAAAUACCCUUUCUUUCCCUGAUUAUGGCAUAGCAUUAAACGCAAGUGUGCACCGUCAGGAGGGAUGUGCCGAGCUCUCCAUUACAAUCUCUUCGUCGCCUAGUAGAAAACUUGUGUUUCCUGAUUCCACACCACAUUGUAAUUCAAUCAGAGGAACUGCUGAUGGAAGUUCACUCAGCUUAUGAAUGGCAGGAAAACUGAAGAAAUUUGCCAGUGGACUCGCUGCUGUUACCUGAAAGCUGUAACCAUGAUUGUGAGCCUAAGCUGUCUUUGGGGCAUGCCCAUCAGGGCUUGGAUGGACACCAGGGACCAUGAGGCGUUGACCUGAAUCAGAGCAUGACUCCCGCCCCAGCAGUGGCUAGAAUCAAAUGUUUUAUGGGAAAGUGGGCCCCUGUAGUGCUCCUACCCAACUGUGCAGCGUUGAAGAGUGGAAGAGGGGAGUGGGAUUCCUACCCAGUGCUUGUAGACACAUAACUCAUUUCCCUGAAGGAUGGUUGCUCUUAUCCUUUCCUUUGCCUUAAUGUUAUUUUUAGAUAUGCAUGCAAAUGCAAUUCACUCCUUCUCCUAAACCUAAUCACGUUGUUCUCAACAUAAGGUUGUAUUUCAGCAUGGCUGGAAACAGGGAAAUUGCUUGUAAGGCCUCUCCUUCUCUAGCUGCUGCCCUUUUGCCAAGGAUCUUCAAACGAGAGGGAAAUGCUGCAGUUGGUAAAUCACCCUAGCCUUCAUCAGUUCGCGAGUCGUCUGGUUCUGUUUCACCCCCAUGAUGCCGACGAUGGGGUUCAGUGCUUGCCGCCCAUGUGAAAGAGAAACUGCACGACUAAUGGAGCCACAAGACACACUCUGAACUUCACUGGUGUAAAUCAGGCGCUGAAACCAUUCAGCUCCACUGUGUGGUUUUGGGGCUUAUGUCAGUGUAUCUACCUUGGAAACAUAAUCUGCCAAACAGACCCUGCUAAGCUUGAAGGUGCGCUUCCAAGGAAUCUGUUGCAAACCUGAAGUUUUAAUGCUUCGGCCUUCUCCUCCAGCUUUUCCCUGGCUUUUUACUCAUUCUGUGGAUUAUUUAAUAAACCUUAAAACCUGCCCUUUU